GGUCACUGCUGUAUUUUGCUAAAAUGCCUCGAUAUAUUUGACAUAAUUUUCAGUACGUUUGAAAAGUUUAACCAGUUUUUCUUACUUGUUUUACUUUGCUAGUUUUUAAUCUGGUUUUUGAGGGUCUAAGCUUAUCCUGUACACACAAAUUUUUUUAAGCAAAGCUUUUUAGCCCUUAACUCACCCAGUGUUUUUCUCAAAACAUUGAUUUGAUGUGACGUAAGGCGUGUUAGUCCAGCGUGAGUUCUUGUCCUCUCCCCGUUAACUAACGGUAUGACUGUUGUAAUACUGUGUCUUAAGUAGUUCAGUGUGAUUUUGAGAUACACAAACUAGUAUACCCUUAAUUAUUGAUGAAAUAAAAAAAAUCUCUUAGCUUGUCUCUGCAGUGGAGAAGAGCUGUGAGUCUGAGGUAUGAGUUCUGUUAUGUUUUCACCCUCGUGUGCUGUCUGCCGUGGGUGUUCCCAGAGCGGGCCAGGCGCUGGGCAGGUGGGCUCCUUGGGUCCUGCUGGCGGCAGAGACGCAAGGAGGCUGUAGCGCUGAACACAGACCAGGAUCCAGUCUAGGGUGAGGGGGUAACUUCCCAUAGAAACCACCCAGGAAGUGUGGGACUGGAUGGCGGGGCCUCCCACUCUGCUGGUAGGGGGCAGGGUGCUGACCUUACGGGGAGGAGAAGGGGAAACUCUGGCAACACCCUCUCCCCGAGGAAAGGUCUGAGUUAAGGUGUGCUGCUGAAACUCCUCUUCUCAUUAACAGAGGUGUAUUGCUCACCAGUCAGUCCUUCCAGUGCUUCCGAAAUGCUCCGACUGCAGGCUCCCUCCCCAGCCAAUCCUGCCUCCUGGGGAGGUCACCCUCACUCCGGGGCUGCCUGCCGACACUUACCCCAGCCUCUUCCUGCGGGCGCCUUUCUGCUGUCCCCCCCUCUGCCUGUGCGUACCUCCCGGGUGAUCCGGAUGGAGACCCCGCGACCCCUCAGCAGACACGUGUGAUGUGUGAUAGGCCAGGAGCGAAAAGAAACAGGUCGUACAGCUUAAAAGACUGACUUGGGGGAAGUUGGACAUUUUUAAUAAACCCUCUGCCAUGCGCCAAGAUGCGACCUACUGCAUUAGGCCUCGGCUGCUCACACCCGCCCGACAGGAACUCCUCAAGCCUCAGCACUGCCUCGGCCGGACGCACUGCCUCGGCGGGACGGGGACUGAUGCUGAGGCGGCAGAGGGGAGGGCGAGGCGAAUCAUGCUCAGAAUGGCCAUCUGAGGGGCAGGGCGGGCGCUCAGGCCUGGGAGGCUGAGGGAGGAGGCUCAGGGGCCCCCAAGGCUGAUGGGAACCAGACGGGAGAAACCCUGGAGCAGGCUGGGCAGCUCAGCUCUGGCUCCUGGGGCGCUAAAGCACAACCUGGAGGGCCAGCUAGGCCCAAACCGGAGGCAGGGGGCAGGCCUGAGGGUGCCUGGCUGACAGGGGGUCUGAUGGGGCGUCUCACUUACACUUAUUUUUCAAGCUAUCAUCAUUGAUUGAACCUUUUCUGUGUGCCAGGCCUCAGGCAAAACAUCUUAGGUGCAUCCGUUCCGAGCAGGUUUUGGUGUUACAUCUGUUUCACAGAUUCGGACACUGCAGCGAUCACGUGCCCAAGGAACUGCCCGAGGCCACGCGGUAACGAGGAGGGCAGGACAGUCCCGCCUGGGGCAGUGCCAGCUCAGCGCAAGCUCACCUGUGGCAGGAUUCAUCGACCUUCCGAGCAGCCAGGAGCCCGUGACACCCAGCUUACAAGACGCUGACUGCCCCCUGCUGCUUCCACCUCGCCCUGCCCUCACUCCAUGAGGACUGCAAACAGCUGAUUUCAUUUGUAUGAUCAUCCUUUCAACUCUUGAACCAUUUCUCUGUAGCCUCCUGUCCCCCAGACCAACACUGCCAGUCCUCCCACUCACUGUCCCAGCUCGUCCUCCAGGGAACUCUGGGCGAGCGUGUCUUGGUGCCCUCACCCCUGUCCCUCUGAGACUGCGGACAUGGCCUGCGUACCUGCUUCUCUGCCCCUGGCCGCUGGGGGCCUGCUGGUCACCCCCCGCCAGGCUGCGGGCUGCAGGCUGACGUGCCUCCCGUGGUGGGCAUCUCAUCCCUGCGGCCACACCCCGGCAGUGGCAGGCCCUCGGAGUGCCCUCGGACGAGCUCUUUGGGAGUGGUGUCCUUGGGUCCUGGCACACAAUCCUAUUCCAAAAACAACUUGCUGAAUAAAUAAAUGGAAAACCUUAGCUCUUUA